rnacentral:misc_RNA from 1 species
GAUGAAGAACGCAGCGAAAUGCGAUAAGUAAUGUGAAUUGCAGAAUUCAGUGAGUCAUCGAAUCUUUGAACGCACAUUGCGCCCCUUGGUAUUCCGAGGGGCAUGCCUGUUCGAGCGUCAUUAUAACCCCUCAAGCUCAGCUUGGUGUUGGGGCCUGCUGCACUGGCAGCCCUUAAAAUCAGUGGCGGCGCCAUCUGGCUCUAAGCGUAGUAAUUCUUCUCGCUAUGGAGUCCUGGUGGAUGCUUGCCAUCAACCCCCAAUUUUUCUAUGGUUGACCUCGGAUCAGGUAGGGAUACCCGCUGAACUUAAGCAUAUCAAUAAGCGGAGGA